rnacentral:rRNA from 1 species
UACGAAGGGGGCUAGCGUUGCUCGGAAUCACUGGGCGUAAAGGGUGCGCAGGUGGCUGUGUAAGUUUGAUGUGAAAGUCUCCGGGCUCAACCCGGAAAUGGCAUUGAAUACUACAUGGCUGGAGGUUUGGAGGGGGGACUGGAAUUCUCGGUGUAGCAGUGAAAUGCGUAGAUAUCGAGAGGAACACCAGUGGCGAAGGCGAGUCCCUGGACAACACCUGACACUGAGGCACGAAAGCUAGGGGAGCAAACAGG